AUACCUUGAGUAUCUUUAAAAAAAUAUAAAACAUCUAAAUAAAAAAAAAUAAACUUUAAAAUAUAAAGAUAAGUCAUUUAGAAAAUGUAUUUUUUUGGGGUUCUAUUUUCUCCAUUUAUAAGGAUCUAAGUAUGUAUAAAUUUUUCUAGUUGUAGAUAUGAGAAGUUAGACGAUAAUGUCCUUCCUCCAUAAUUUUGAGUAAAUGGUAGUCCAUUCUAUUGUACUAUUGUAGCUAGCU
rnacentral:lncRNA from 1 species